CCUACGGGGGGCUGCAGUGGGGAAUAUUGCGCAAUGGGCGAAAGCCUGACGCAGCCAUGCCGCGUGGAUGAUGAAGGCCUUCGGGUCGUAAAGUCCUUUUCUGAGGGAAGAACUGCCGGGGGAGGAAAUGCCCUUGGCUUGACGGUACCUCAGGAAUAAGCAACGGCUAACUCCGUGCCAGCAGCCGCGGUAAUACGGAGGUUGCAAGCGUUGUUCGGAAUGACUGGGCGUAAAGGGAGCGCAGGCGGCCAAGUCAGUCUGAAGUGAAAGCCCGGGGCUUAACCCCGGAAUAGCUUUGGAUACUGCCUGGCUUGAGUGUGCGAUAGGAAAGCGGAAUUCCAGGUGUAGCGGUGAAAUGCGUAGAUAUCUGGAGGAACACCGGUGGCGAAAGCGGCUUUCUGGCGCAUAACUGACGCUGAGGCUCGAAAGCGUGGGGAGCGAACGGGCUUAGAUACCCCGGUAGUC
rnacentral:rRNA from 1 species